GCCCUCGGUGGCUCAGUUGGAUAGAGCGCUUGCCAUGUAAGCAGGAGGUCCCAGGUUCGAUUCCUGGCCGGGGCA